ACUACGGGUUGCAGCAGUGGGGAAUAUUGGGCAAUGGGCGCAAGCCUGACCCAGCAACGCCGCGUGAAGGAAGAAGGCUUUCCGGUUGUAAACUUCUUUUAUCAGGGGCGUAGCACGUGACGGUUCCUGAUCAUUACGCCACGGCUAACUACGUGCCCGCAGCCGCGGCAAUACGGCGGUGGCAAGCGUUCUGCGGAUUUACUGGGUGUAAAGGGCGUGUAGGCGGGAGGGCAAGUGAGAUGUGAAAACUACGGGCUCAACCCAUGGCCUGGAGUUGACACUGGAGUGCUUGAGUGCGGGGGAGGCAGGCGGAAUUAGGGGUGUAGCGGUGAAAUGCGUAGAUAUACGGAGGAACACCAGUGGCGAAGGCGGAUUGCUGGAGAGGAACUGACGCUGAGGCGCGAAAGCGUGGGGAGCAAACAGGAUUAGAUACCCGGGUAGUC
rnacentral:rRNA from 1 species